AUUGAACGCUGGCGGAACGCUUUACACAUGCAAGUCGAGCGGCAGCGCGGGGCAACCUGGCGGCGAGCGGCGAACGGGUGAGUAAUGCAUCGGAACAUGUCCAUGUCGUGGGGGAUAGCCCGGCGAAAGCCGGAUUAAUACCGCAUACGCCCGAGAGGGGAAAGUGGGGGACCGCAAGGCCUCACGCGAUUGGGUUGGCCGAUGUCCGAUUAGCUUGUUGGGGAGGUAAAGGCUUACCAAGGCGACGAUCGGUAGCUGGUCUGAGAGGAUGAUCAGCCACACUGGGACUGAGACACGGCCCAGACUCCUACGGGAGGCAGCAGUGGGGAAUUUUGGACAAUGGGGGCAACCCUGAUCCAGCCAUUCCGCGUGAGUGAAGAAGGCCUUCGGGUUGUAAAGCUCUUUUGUCCGGAGCGAAACGGUGGCGGUGAAUAUCCGCCACUACUGACGGUACCGGAAGAAUAAGCACCGGCUAACUACGUGCCAGCCGCCGCUGUAAAAC
rnacentral:rRNA from 1 species